GCUUUCGAAGCUCUUAUGGUUGAGCGUUGAGCUGUUAACUCAAAGAGAGCUGGUUCGAAUCCGGCCGAAAGCG
rnacentral:tRNA from 1 species